rnacentral:rRNA from 1 species
GACGAACGCUGGCGGUGUGCUUCACACAUGCAAGUCGAACGAGGUAGCAAUACCUAGUGGCGGACGGGUGAGUAACGCGUGGGAAUCUGCCUUUAGAUGGGGGAUAACGGGUCGAAAGACUCGCUAAUACCGCAUAUGACGAAAGUUGAAAGGAGUAAUCCGUCUAAAGAUGAGCCCGCGUCCGAUUAGCUAGUUGGUAGAGUAAAAGCCUACCAAGGCGACGAUCGGUAGCUGGUCUGAGAGGAUGAUCAGCCACAAUGGGAACUAGAGACACGGCCCAUACUCCUACGGAGGCAGCAGUGGGAAUUUUACGCAAUGGGCGAAAGCCUGACGUAGCGAC